rnacentral:rRNA from 1 species
GGACUACAGGGGUAUCUAAUCCUGUUCGCUCCCCACGCUUUCGCGCUUCAGCGUCAGUAUUAUGCCAGGUGGCUGCCUUCGCCAUUGACGUUCCUUCCGAUCUCUACGCAUUUCACCGCUACACCGGAAAUUCCGCCACCCUCUCAUAUACUCCAGUCAGAUAGUUUGCGAUGCACUUCCCAGGUUAAGCCCGGGGCUUUCACAUCACACACAUCUCACCGCCUACGCGCCCUUUACGCCCAGUAAUUCCGAUUAACGCUCGCACCCUCUGUAUUACCGCGGCGGCUGGCAC